AAUAUUGGACAAUGGGCGAGAGCCUGAUCCAGCCAUGCCGCGUGCAGGAAGACGGCCCUACGGGUUGUAAACUGCUUUUAUACGGGAAGAAACCCAUCUACGUGUAGAUGGCUGACGGUACCGUAAGAAUAGGGACCGGCUAACUCCGUGCCAGCAGCCGCGGUAAUACGGAGGGUCCGAGCGUUAUCCGGAAUUAUUGGGUUUAAAGGGUCCGUAGGCGGGCCGUUAAGUCAGGGGUGAAAUACUACGGCUCAACCGUGGAACUGCCCUUGAUACUGGCGGUCUUGAAUUAUAGUGAAGUUGCCGGAAUAUGUAGUGUAGCGGUGAAGUGCAUAGGUAUUACAUAGAACACCGAUUGCGAAGGCAGGUGACUAACUGUACAUUGACGCUGAUGGACGAAAGCGUGGGUAGCGAACGGGAUUAGAUACCCCGGUAGUCCACGCCGUA
rnacentral:rRNA from 1 species